GACGAACGCUGGCGGCGUGCCUAAUACAUGCAAGUUGAGCGCUGAAGGUUGGUACUUGUACCAACUGGAUGAGCAGCGAACGGGUGAGUAACGCGUGGGGAAUCUGCCUUUGAGCGGGGGACAACAUUGGGAAACGAAUGCUAAUACCGCAUAAAAACUUUAAACACAAGUUUUAAGUGUGAAAGAUGCAAUUGCAUCACUCAAAGAUGAUCCCGCGUUGUAUUAGCUAGUUGGUGAGGGAAAGGCCCACCAAGGCGAUGAUACAUAGCCGAACUGAGAGGGUGGUCGGCCCACUUGGGACUGGGAACACGCCCCAGCCCCCACCGGAGGCCGCCGUAGGGAAUCUUCCGCCAUGGAGGGAAGUCUGACCGGGCCACGCCCGGGGGGUGAAGAAGGGUUUCGGAUCGUAAAACUCUGUUGGUAGGGGAGAACGAUGGUGGGAGUGGAAAGCUCAUCAAGUGACGGUAACUACUCAGAAAGGGACGGCUAACUACGUG
rnacentral:rRNA from 1 species